rnacentral:rRNA from 2 species
GGUUGCGAUCAUACCAGCACUAAUGCACCGGAUCCCAUCAGAACUCCGCAGUUAAGCGUGCUUGGCGAGAGUAGUACUAGGAUGGGUGACCCCCUGGGAAGUCCUCGUGUUGCAACCC